GCCCUCGCGACAUCUGAUAAAAUUGGAACCAUACAUACAAGAUUAGUAUAGCCCGUGAGCAAGGAUGCACGUACAAAUCAAGAAGUGGUAUCAAAGCCA